GGCUCGGAUCUAUGCAACUAAAACGCCUAAAUCUUGUCAGAACGUGAAAGUAGCAGCAAUCAAGGAUGCUUGUAGUAGGCGUAGUCUCCGGGCUGAC
rnacentral:SRP_RNA from 1 species